UUUAAUAAAGAUGGAGAAACAAAGAAAUAUAUCUAAUAAAAAAAUUGUAAAAAAUGUAAUUUUCAAAAGGGGGUUAAGCAACUUGUCAUCAAUCAUGAGGAUCCAAGUUCUAUCCCAUGUGGUAGGAGGACAAACUCCCCACUCAUUGUCCUCUGACCUCCAUAUACUCACACUGACACAUAUAGACAUUUGCACACAGAAUAUACUAAUUAAUUAAUUAAUUAAUUAAUUAAAGGUGUUUCAAACCAUCUGUUCUUGGCCUUAGCUCACUUCUGUCUCUGGAUUACACAGCUCUCUUCCCCACAUCUGCCUUUCUUUCUCUCAUGCCUGUCAUGCUUGCAUGUGCAUUUAUCCUCCCGUAGUGUCCAUGUUUAAAUCUGUAUUCACUACAGCUCUGGUGACUAGAUAGAUGGUUCCCAGGUUAAAAGAACUUGCGGUGCGAUCAUGAGGCCUACAGUCCAAAUCCCAGCAUCCUGCAAACACCAGACACUACAGCUGCCAGGAAUCAGACAACAUCCUCUUGGGCAGAAAUAACACAAUACUGUCAGUAAUUUGGAGUAAAACACACUUACAAAUAUAUGGCAAAAAUGCAAAACUUUGUCCUUUUAAAAUGUAGCUCACAAAAGAAUUAGCACCUGGGUCAUGAAUCAAAAGAAAGUAAAAAUCAUGGUUCCUUUUAUACCAUGUGAGCCAACCAAGUAUUGUUAUCUCUGUAAACCUGUUCCUUUCUCAGUACGCUGAAUUUAAAUAGACCUUUGGAAUAUUAAAUGGGAAACGACUUAGCAAAGAGUCUUGUAGCAUAGGGCAUACAUAGGAAUUUACCAAUUAUUAUUAAAUUUUGGAAUAAAUGUUAAAAAACAAGUAGUCUUUCAUGUUCGUUUUUAAGUAUCAGUCACAAGACUUACAAUCCUAUGACUUAAGGUUGAGACUGAUAUAUAAAAGGAAUUACAAAACACCAUUUGCAAGGACAAAUGCUAAGUAAAAAUACACUCCAACUUGAGAACCAGAAUACAACAUGUAGGAAAGCUCCUUGUACAAAAUGGUAGAAAGCAUCACAUUAAAGAUAAUAAGACACCUCUCCUUCCUGAACACUACAAGAAACAGAAUUCCCUAAGAUCUUCUAGGCUUUUCCUGUCAGGAAAAAGGAAGCCCCAGUUAGUUCUCUUGUCACCACAAUUGUAUUUCCAGUAGAACAUCAAAGCAAAACGUAGGAAAGGCAUCUGUACCUUUCUCAUUCUCAGGAAAUCACUUUUAUCUUAUUCUAGGCUUACUGAUAGACUACUUAGAAAGUCAAACAAAUUUUGGUAGGCCACAAAAUUUCAUUCAAAAAAAUAUAUAAAAAUGAAUUCUAUAAAAAAUUCAAUAGAAAAUGUUGUAAGAACACAAACAACGGUAACACACCUUUAAUCCCAGCACUCUGGAGACAGAGGUAGGUAGGCAGAUCACUUGACUUUGAAACCAGGCUAAUUUAUAGACUACUCAGGAAAUGCCAAAAAACCCAGCCUCCAAUAAGAGAGAGGGGUUGGGGGGAAGAAAGGGAGGGAGAGAGAAAGAAGAAACAAUUUUAUUUAAAAAGUUUGGAUUAUUUGUUUAUAUGUUUCUUUGUUCAUUUUUAAGGUUGAGGAAGAUGCUCAAUAAGUAAAGUGCCUGCUCUGCAAACAGGAGGACCUAAGUUCAGAUCCUUAUCUACAUCCACUCUGGCGCAGUGCUGCACAUUUCUUUCUAAGUCCAACACAUUGUAUGAUAAGAAACAGAUGCUAGGAGGCAGCCAGUCCAGCCAAAAUGGGAAGCUCCAGGUUCAGGGAGAAAUUUUGACUCAAAAAUUAAGGUAGAGAGCAACUGGAAGACACUGAACAUAGACCCUGGCCUCUUCACAAAGCAUAGAAAACUCAGACCUGUGAUCUUUAACAUGUAUUGACUCAAGUGCUCACUGUAAUGCUGUGGAGUAAGUAAUACUGUAGUCGUCUUACAUAGCUGAAUAAAAUGAAGCACCAGAAGUCAUUAUCCUAUCCAGGGUCAUGCAGUCAGCAAAUGGUAGCAGGCAGGAUCUAGAUUCAAGAUGUCAAAAGGUCAAAUCAACUACAGCAUUCCCUUAGAAAUUUUUACAAAGAGCCUAUUAGGUACUAGGCACAGUUCUAAGUACCAAGGAUAAAUUUAUGAACAAAUCAAAAGCGAUUCUACUCUGUUGUUAGGAAGAGAGAGAGUCAAAGAGUGUAAUGGGAAUAAUUAACAAGUGGAAAGUGUAUCUGAUAAUAAAUACAAAAGAGUAAAAGAAAAAAUAUUUAAUUUAGGAAGGAGGAGAAGCUCCCUCAAGUAAAGAACAGCAAUAGAAGACAAGAACAACUGUCACCAGCCAGAAGAGGUGUCCAGUCUAUCUGCCUGGGUAGCAUCCUGAAGUCCAAUAGCGAGAGUCAUGGGGUAAGGCUAAGUUAAGUUGGCAGCUGCCCUGAUGGCAGGGAGGAGCUUAGAUUCAAUUCUGUAUGUAACCCAGAGGUAUUUGAGAAUUUUGAGCACAAACGGUUCAAUCCAAGUUCUUUAUCAAAAGAUCAUUCUGAUUGUAAUCUGAGGAACAGCAAGCAAAAUAAGGACACCAGGGAGGGCACUAAUCCAACAAUCUAAGGAAGAUAACACUAGAACUUAAAACUUGCAUCUGUGCAUGGUUUACAAGGAGAGGAGAUACUAAAAGAACCUGCCACUUACCACUUUUCUCAUACUCUCAAGUUGUGUUCAAAGAAAAUUACAUUUUUAAAAUAUCGAUUAAUAUCCACACUAAUGUUUCUGUUGACACUGGUUGUCUGUGAUUCAAAAUUCUGUUUAACUUACCCUACGAUUUAUUUUGGUCUUUAUUUAUGAUGGUGUCUAAUUAUGCAGGCCGUAAUUGAUUUGAUUCUCACUAUGUAGAUCAGACUGGCUUCAAACUACCAGAGACCCCCCCCUGCCUCUGCCUACCUAGUGCUGAGAGUAACCAAGCCCAGUUUAUACUACGAUUUACAAUCCCUUACAUUCUAAUGAAAAAAAGAAUCACAAUAACCUUCAGUGUCUGCUCACUUGUAGACAGUAGGUACUACCUAAGGUCUCCUGUGAUUAGUUUUCUUCUCAUGGCAUUCUCUGUAGAAUAUCUGGCCCUAUUUAGUACAUUGCUAUAAGAGCAUUCCAUGGAAAACACUUACCUAAUACCUGUAGAUUCAUAGUCCUAGUAAAUGCCUUUUUAAGAACUAAUAGAAAAUGAUGUAUUCAAACUAUGAAGGAAAAGCUUGUCCAAGGUCAUACAGCCAGAUUCAAAGCCAUAUCUAAAGCUUCUAUCUUCCUACCUCAAAAGCCAUGGAAGACUGUAUGUUUGACUUUAUAGGUAUAUAUAGUCAUUAGCACUUAUUAACAGCGGUUGGGGGCCUGGAAGCAGGGCAGUCGGCUGAGGCUCCUCUCCUCUGGGAAGGACUUGGGGACGGGGGUCAUAGGGGUCGGGUGUGGUCAGCGGGCCUCAUUCACCAGUCCCUGAUCCCCCCACAGGAACAUCACUCCCACCCUGCCAUGCUCCCCGGAGACAUUACUCACUGCUCCGUGUCUGUUCAUUUUCCGUGAGGCUGAAAACUUAGUAAUGGCGGUGAAAGUGACAAAGGCGGGGGGGGGGGGGUUCGGGGGCCACCACGGGGUCGCGGAUCGAGUGGUCACAAUGAGCCAGAAAUCUAGGAAUGGAGGCGGUGACCACGGUAUUGGCGGGCGGAGCAAUUUUGGCUGGAGCAGCAAUGGCUUUGGAGGCGUGAUCGAGGGUUGCAGCGGGGUUGUGGGUCACCAUGUGGUCGGAGGUCACGGCAGGUCUGUGGAUGCACCGCAGCCCCACUCGCAGCGUGCUUUGUGUGCCAGGAUCCCUGAGGCAGCGCAGGAAGUGCUCAUCAACCUUCCUCUGUAAACAGGAUUGGAGCGGGGACGGAGGCGGCUUCUGGGGCGCCAUGGUGAACGCGGGAUCCCCACCUGGACAAUGUACCAACAUUUCCACCGCUUCAAAUUGCCCGCGGCUGAAACAGAGCCCGGGACUUCUGUCGAGGAGUGAUAGCGUCACCAGCGUUAACGCAAGAUCCAGGAACACAGAAGGAUAAGACGCGGCGUGAUGGCGUCACAGAGCGCGACGGGAAAACAGGAAGACAGUAGUGAAACGUCUUCAAUGACGGAGGCGUUGGCUUCCGGAGUCCCAUUGAGGACCUUGGGUCCAGGUCGGCACCGGGACGUAUGUACGUACUCAGGAAUCUGCGAUGGACACACCCGGUGCUCCCCCUGUUUCAAAACCCCCGCAAAGGACGCUUAGCCUGGCACUUCCGGCCAGGAGUGAUGGCGUCACGGGAAUCAGGAAGAGAGGAGGGCUGUGGAAAUAAAGGCAGAGCAGAGAUAUCUGGGCGUGGUCCAAUGUCCUGGUGUGACCACAGCAAACAGUAAGAGCGUGAGGAGGUGGGCGCCGCCUGAGGUCAUCACUGACCCGACCACAGGAAACAGGCCAAGUCACAGAACUGAACUAGGUAACUGGAGCCAUCCCGGCUUGAAAACGUCACAGGAGCCACAAAGUUACGGGAGAACCGGGUGAGAUGGUCCGAUGUGGCGCGGCAUGAAGUCGUCAUGAAGUGUGACAGUGACACCGCGACCAGGAUACAAUUAAAGAGUGACAUGCUCCAGGCACCGGCGCCCCGCGGCGCGACAGAAUAGCGACGGUCCUGAGGGACUCAGGCCGCGGCAUUCAAAGUGCUGACCCGGAAUCUUGAUGACUUUACUUGAUGGUGACAGCGGGGACUGGAUGCACACGCGCAGUCACGUCUUCUGAGGCUCUUCCCACAGCUUGGCACAAGUGGACACUUACUUGUCUUGGUUAAUAUGACUCUUUUUGACCUGUGUCAGCUCUUUGAAAGUCUGUCCAAAGUGAGCAGUGGGGUGAACAAUGGCGGCAGCAUCUUUAGGUAUCUGGAUCCAACCAUCAGGAGCUCUAAGCACUGACCCGCAAUGGCUGCCUGCCUCAGUUUGCACACCAGAUGGAUGCCAGUGCUGGUCUCUGUCAGGAAAGUACACAGAUUUCCUAAUGGUGCUUUCAACAUUAGUUCCUAUUAGAGUAUGUAACUGAAGAGGUAUCAGAGAUAACUCUUAUGUUUCUUUAACGUGAUAGAUGUUCCUCAUAUUUUUCUAAAUUUAGAAAUAUCUUGAACAUUGUGCCAUGUAAAGUAUUGAUUAUCGUUCAUGUGCAUGUUUUAACUUCUGCGAUUUAUUUAUUGACUUUUAAAGCUUCUAAUUUCAACACUAACUUCCAAACGGCAACAGAAGAAAAGUAAAACAACAUUAGUGGCAGAAGAAUAAUUUGGAUCAUGUGCGUUGGAAUAGAGGUACUGAACAGAACCACUCGAGUGGGAAGGGCCCAGGUCACCAUCAAGGAGACUAAAGCUGGGGUAGGAAGAGCAUGAGACGGUCUCAGAGGUAUUGGGCCUGUACUGGGAAGAUCUUUUCAGAUACCCCUGGAAUGCUCUGAACUCACAGGCGGGGGAUUUACAAGUGGGACUCUUUAUCCUGGUAGCUAGAUGUGGAAAUGGCACUUCCAAGUCCUAUUUGGGGAUGGCUUGCCCAGGGAGCUUGGCUCAGUGGAGUGUAGAAUGAAUGCCAACAUUAACAAUACUUCUGGUCCAAGUGCAAAUGUCUCCAUCAAGUUCUCAAAAAAUCCUUUUAUGGUCCAUCUGUUUGGACACACCCUGGUUCCAAACCUUGUUUUGCCUCAGGACCCACAUUCUUAGAAACUUGCUAGCUUGCUGAAGACUUGGCCUGCUUCUGCCUUCUGUUCUGCAACACUGACUGGAUGCUAAGAUUCAUUCUUUGGCUCUGUGACACUUGAGCCUUUGCAAAAUAUAUUAUGUUUAUUCACGCCCCCCUC
rnacentral:sRNA from 1 species